UUCUUGUGUCCUGGGCUCCCUGUCUUUGGAGCAGGUCUGGAGUGUGAGAGGGUGUCUGCCCCUCCUGUCAUCUGUCCCUUUCCUUCUAAGGCCCGAGGAGGAAGGCAUGCUGUGGGCUCUCACCCUCUUUCUAGCUUUCCUGGCUCCUGCCACUCAGGUAUCUUCCAACAUGGAAGGGAUACAGAUAGUAUUCACCAGGCAAGCUGGGUCAUCUGUUUUGAUCACUUGUGAUCUUAAACAAAGCAGCGACUACAUCCACUGGUACCGAUUCCAGGAGGGGAUGGCCCCACGACGACUUCUCUACUACCACCUCUCCAGCUCAAAGGUUGUGGUGGAAUCAGGAAUCAGUUCACAGAAAUACCAAGCUUAUCAAGGCACAGGGAGGACCUGUAAUCUUUAUAUCCAAAGUCUGGAAGAAAGUGAUUCUGCUCUGUAUUACUGUGCUUCCUGGGAGAGGCACAGUGAUACAGACCUCCUCAGUCCUGCACUGAAAAUUUUGCUUGUGGUUGACAAGAGCAGCCUUGACACACAGGAUAGACCAGCCCCUGCCUCCCAUCCUGCCCUGAGUUCACUGUGCUGUGAACAAAGCGAGACUCUGAGCUCAGCGCCCAGUCUUCACCCUCAUAUCCCACUGGCCUCCCUGCUCCCCCAUAAACCAUAGCAGUUUUCUAAAGAAGGAUCUCCCAUCUCCAGGCCUUAGGCAAGCAGUCUGGCAGACAGCAUGUUCUUUCAGCUCUCCUAGGAGCUGGUGGAGUCCAUUCAGUCUGCUUCCUGGGACAGAAAAUGUCACCUAGGCUUGAUCUGUUUGGGGAGACAUUUAGCAGAGCAAUGUGGGAAGGCUAGUGGUGCCUAAUCAUUUAUCCAAUCAUUUCCCAGAGAAAUGGCUGGGAAAGGAGCUCCUGUCUUACUCAGGAGAAUGAGAAGUGAUGGAAUGAAAACUUUGGACUUCAUGAUGACUUCAAGCUGGGAUCUUAUUUAUCUUUUGGACAAACUGAUAUUUCCCUCACCAUAACCAACCAUGGCACUAUUGAGACAGUAAAAGUGUAGGAACAAGGUGAUUGCUGUAGAGAUGCCAACCAUGGUAUUCUACUCACAGCUUCUUUCGAAUUUCAGCCUCACCCAGAACUGCUUUGUCUUAGACAAGUAAAGCCAAAGCUCCCUUCACCCCUCCCCCAACCUUGACCUGGCCACGUCCUAAACUGGAAUGAGUCUAUCAGAUUGUUUUUUCUCAAUAAUAAAAUUAAGGGACUCUUUGGGUGAACAACCAGACAAUGAAUAGUCUAUAUUUGAAUUGAAAAGUCAUAUAGGAAAAGGGUUGUGGCUGCCAUAUUGGUCCAGGUUUAAGGAUAUAAAAUUAAUACUGAAGUACAGAAAUGCUGGAUUCACACUUGUGUGGUCUCUUGCAUAUUGGAUCCUCCAACUUUCUGCCAGAUCUCUUAACCUUGACUCUAGCUUAGAGUUGAAGUUCCUAGAACAGUGUUUCUCAAACUGUGGUCCAUGGCCCACCUACAUCAGAAGCACUUGGGAUGUUUGAAUAAAAGUACAGGUUCUGGGUAUCAUCCUGUGAGAUAAGUCAGAAUUUUAGGAUGAAAGCAGAAAUGUGUGUUUCUUAAUGACCUCUGCUCUGAUUCUUAUUCCAAUUGGUUUUUAAGAACUGCUGUAUUGGCAGGAACAGAUAGGGUGACCUUUCUCCCUCUGAAAUGGGCUGGUCCCAGCCUGACACCAGAAUGCAUUCUAGAAAGGUGCUCAUGGGCUUCCUGCCAACACACAAAGCCCUCCCCUCUUAUGGCACCCUGGAUGCUGCUGCUCUAACAGGUCAUCACAUUUCUCCAUGACAUUUGCACCAGAACCACAAAUGGAAACUCCACUUCCUUCUCACUGCUGUGAUCUCAGGCAAGAAGAAUUGUCCAGUGCAUGAACCAGCUUUAACUUGCUCUACUGUCUGACGAGCCAUGCACUUCUACUAUUUUGCAGAUCUAUGAAAGUUUAUUCCUUACCUUGCAAUAUUUAAAA